rnacentral:rRNA from 1 species
UACAGAGGUCUCAAGCGUUGUUCGGAUUCAUUGGGCGUAAAGGGUGCGUAGGCGGCGCGGUAAGUCGGGUGUGAAAUCUCGGAGCUUAACUCCGAAACUGCAUUCGAUACUGCCGUGCUUGAGGACUGGAGAGGAGACUGGAAUUUAUGGUGUAGCGGUGAAAUGCGUAGAUAUCGUAAGGAAGACCAGUGGCGAAGGCGGGUCUCUGGACAGUUCCGUAGACGACGUGCGGC